rnacentral:rRNA from 1 species
AACGCUGAAGAGAGGAGCUUGCUCUUCUUGGAUGAGUUGCGAACGGGUGAGUAACGCGUAGGUAACCUGCCUUGUAGCGGGGGAUAACUAUUGGAAACGAUAGCUAAUACCGCAUAACAAUGGAUGACUCAUGUCAUUUAUUUGAAAGGGGCAAAUGCUCCACUACAAGAUGGACCUGCGUUGUAUUAGCUAGUAGGUGAGGUAACGGCUCACCUAGGCGACGAUACAUAGCCGACCUGAGAGGGUGAUCGGCCACACUGGGACUGAGACACGGCCCAGACUCCUACGGGAGGCAGCAGUAGGGAAUCCUCGGCAAUGGGGGCAACCCUGACCGAGCAACGCCGCGUGAGUGAAGAAGGUUUUCGGAUCGUAAAGCUCUGUUGUAAGUCAAGAACGAGUGUGAGAGUGGAAAGUUCACACUGUGA